GCAUUGAUAGUCGUAUUUGGUUUCCAGUUACUACAAAAUGUUUGGUUUCUCAAUAACAUUAAUAUUUUCCUAGAAUAUAGAAAAUACAGUCCUUGUAAUUUAACAUGUUACUCUUCUUUCUGAAAUAAGGUUUCACUGGGUGUUUAAGAAAUCUUUGAAAUUUAGUCAUCAACCUAACUUGUUAAUAGUAAGUUAUAUAAAGUGAAUAAUUUUUAGAUAUUAGCAGAGCAAUGAAAUCAUACUGUUCUAUUUUAUAUGAUCUUCCAGCAUUCUAUCUGUAAAUGGUGGCAGCAUAAGUAAAAAAUGCUGGCAUCAUUGACUUUGUUCUAUUUUAAUGUACCUAAUGCAGACUGGGACUUGGGGGUUUGCCUGGAGUAUGAGUGUAAAAGAAAACAGCUGUUAAAACCUGUGUUUUUAAAUUCUUGGAUUGAUCUCAGAGCAACUUACAAGCUUUUCUAUAGGAGAAAACCGAAAGGACUAAGUGGUGCCUUGCAGGAAGUAGGAAUAGAAUUCUCAGGACGAGAACAUUCUGGGUUGGACGAUUCUCGGAAUACCUCCCUUCUUGCUUGGAAAAUGAUCAGAGAUGGUUGUGUAAUGAAAAUUACAAGGUCGUUGAACAAGGGUCCCUUCCUCUUGCCUUCAUGGACCUGGAACAGUGAUCUGGCCUCAGGGGACCAGCAUGUUUUUCUUCAGCAAGAAUUUGGGUAUUUCUUUAAUUUCUUGUCUUUGGGAUUACUAUUCAGGACAACCAAUCUCUCAAGAAAGGGUCAAGUACC
rnacentral:sRNA from 1 species